rfam:Myotis lucifugus cont2.8561, whole genome shotgun sequence.
CUUGGGGAGGGGGGAGUUCCCUCAGCCUGGAUUGUGGGAGGGUGCAGGCCAGGCUGAGGGACCCCACCAGUGCACG